AGUCCAUGAUGUGGGCAAAGCCUUAACAUAUCCUUGUAUCUCUCCCAUGCUUUGAAAAGUGAUUCAUUGUAUUUUUGUGUAAAUUCGUUGUUUUGGCUUCUUAGCAU